GACGAACGCUGGCGGCGUGCUUAACACGUGCAAGUCGAACGGAAAGGCCCUGCUUGCAGGGUACUCGAGUGGCGAACGGGUGAGUAACACGUGGGUGAUCUGCCCUGCACUUCGGGAUAAGCCUGGGAAACUGGGUCUAAUACCGGAUAGGAGCCAUUUUCAGUGUGAUGGUUGGAAAGUUUUUUCGGUGUAGGAUGAGCUGGCGGCCUAUCAGCUUGUUGGUGGGGUAAUGGCCUACCAAGGCGGCGACGGGUAGCCGGCCUGAGAGGGUGGACGGCCACAUUGGGACUGAGGUGCGGCCCAGACUGCUACGGGAGGCAGCAGUGGGGAAUAUUGCACAAUGGGCGCAAGCCUGAUGCAGCGACGCCGCGUGGGGGAUGACGGCCUUCGGGUUGUAAACUCCUUUCGCUAGGGACGAAGCUUUUUGUGACGGUACCUAGAUAAGAAGCACCGGCUAACUACGUG
rnacentral:rRNA from 1 species